GUUUUUAAUAAAAAUGAGGACUGGAAAGAGAUAAAUUAUGUUUCAAAAACUGGUACACCUGUUGUUAAAUUCUAGUCUUGUCCAUUGUUUUUGUGUAUUUUUCUGAAAUGUAGACUGACCCUGCUUAUUCCUGUGAUCUCUGCCAGCUGCGUAGAAGAAACAAGAGGGAUGGUACUGUAGAUAUUUCAGUUUGUGGUCCCUGCUGUUGAGCAGUGUGAGCUCUGUGAGAUAUGCAGAUAAUGUCUCCAGAGAGCCAUUAGCAUGGGUCUUCAGCCAUGCCUCCUCAUCCAUGCCACGAGGGAAUUGUUUAAAGUCAUUUUGUUCCUGAUUAGCUGCCUCACUCAUUA
rnacentral:lncRNA from 1 species